rnacentral:rRNA from 1 species
CCCUUCAGAGGGGGACAACAGUUGGAAACGACUGCUAAUACCGCAUACGAUCCAAUCUCGGCAUCGAGGCUGGAUGAAAGGUGGCCUCUAUUUAUAAGCUAUCACUGAAGGAGGGGAUUGCGUCUGAUUAGCUAGUUGGAGGGGUAACGGCCCACCAAGGCGAUGAUCAGUAGCCGGUCUGAGAGGAUGAACGGCCACAUUGGGACUGAGACACGGCCCAG